AAGCAGGUCAAAACAGCAAACCUCCCAUUCGAUAUCCGCAAAGUUGGACUGUUUUUGCUUUUGAAGUAGAUUUGCCAGGGUUGGAAUUUGAGCACACAGAAUUUUAAAGUCGAGCAUUAAACAAUAAAAUUUAAAAUGUCCCCAAGGUCAGAGGAAGAUCUGGGUGAGUCUUGCCCUUGUCACACUCCCACCCCACCCCCAACCUUAAGUUAAAAGGACUUCUGUAGAAUUCUUGGCCUCCUGGGAAGAAAACUUUUGGCUCCCCCUGGUACCUCAGCAGCGGCAUUGCAUAGGAUUUCAAAAGUAGCCUAUCUAUAGAAAAAGGCAAAAUGGAAGCAUUGCAGACAGAGUUCUAAAUGGGUACAAAGUCAUUUUGUCCAAGGUCGAGCAACUUAAAAGGAAAAUCAUGACCCAGUCGGAAAUGUGCCUUUCAGACAGCCCCACUUCCCAGUGUUUCGGGAAGGUGGCUGAGCCAGGAGGCACUCUGGGGCUACAGAACCAAGUCAGGCAGCAAUGGGUACACAGGCUGCUGUUGCGAUCCUGGGUGGGCUGGGAGAGACAUCUGGGCGUGGAGAGUGGGGAGAGGGUGUUGCUAAGGAAACAGUUUUAAGCAAUGUUGGUGCGGUGUACUCCUAAGGUGACUGAGAAAACUAUGUUGAGGAGGGGUUCGAUUUUCCUACCUCCCAAAUUCACAGUAUGAGAGUGUACGGCCGUUGCUGGGAGACAAGACUGAGAAGGGCUACCCUUCAGGGGCACUGGAAGGCUCAGGGUUUGGCCCUGGUCACAGGCUAGACACGUGGUUUGAAACUUUUAUUACAAACAAAACAACAGAAGACACACUCACAUCCACACUAGUAGCAAAGGCAGGCUGGGUCUGGGCUUACAGCAGGGAACGGAAAUGUUUCUAGUUACCAGUUAGCAGGACACAUUCUUGUUCCUUUCAAUGAGGAAGAAAAUCAGUGCCAUUCCAAAGAAAGCGAGCAGUUUUGGGCCAAGCUCUUAGGGU
rnacentral:lncRNA from 1 species